AUGAACGCUGGCGGCGUGCUUAACACCUGCAAGUCGAACGAAGCACUUUAUUUGAUUUCCUUCGGGACUGAUUAUUUUGUGACUGAGUGGCGGACGGGUGAGUAACGCGUGGGUAACCUGCCUUGUACAGGGGGAUAACAGUUGGAAACGGCUGCUAAUACCGCAUAAGCGCACGGCAUCGCAUGAUGCAGUGUGAAAAACUCCGGUGGUAUAAGAUGGACCCGCGUUGGAUUAGCUAGUUGGUGAGGUAACGGCCCACCAAGGCGACGAUCCAUAGCCGACCUGAGAGGGUGACCGGCCACAGUGGGACUGAGACACGGCCCAAACUCCUACGGGAGGCAGCAGUGGGGAAUAUUGCACAAUGGGCGAAAGCCUGAUGCAGCGACGCCGCGUGAGCGAAGAAGUAUUUCGGUAUGUAAAGCUCUAUCAGCAGGGAAGAUAAUGACGGUACCUGACGAAGAAGCACCGGCUAAAUACGUG
rnacentral:rRNA from 1 species